rnacentral:rRNA from 1 species
GACGGAGGAUGCAAGUGUUAUCCGGAAUCACUGGGCGUAAAGCGUCUGUAGGUGGUUUAAUAAGUCAACUGUUAAAUCUUGAGGCUCAACCUCAAAAUCGCAGUCGAAACUAUUAGGCUAGAGUAUAGUAGGGGUAAAGGGAAUUUCCAGUGGAGCGGUGAAAUGCGUAGAGAUUGGAAAGAACACCGGUGGCGAAGGCACUUUACUGGGCUAUUACUAACACUCAGAGACGAAAGCUAGGGUAGCAAAUGGGG